rnacentral:lncRNA from 1 species
UUCCUCAGCCUCCUUUCACCUCUACGAGACCUAGAGGAAAAAGUUAUCAAAACUUCUCAUUUUCUUAAAGUCUCUCUCUUUCUUCUCCAAAUCAUUACUAAAUGAGCAAGGACAACUUCAACGCCACCGGUUGAUCUUACUGCAGGUAAAUAUGCCUCUGUUUAUCCUUUAUCUUUUGCUCUUCUUAAGUGAGAGAUACCUAAACCUAGUGUCGUUUGUUAUAUAACGACUUACUGAAUAUUUUUCUUUCAUUGUAUUUUGUUUUCAGUUCUGAAAGAUGAGGAUUGAGCUGGCCUUUUGAACGCAAACCACAUGACUACAUGAGCAAAUUUUUAUGCGGUUGGCUGGUAAAAAGUCUUGCCGGAAAGUGGGAUUGAGCAGCCACAACCACUAUCUCGUCGAAAACCCUAUUUUUAAUGGAUUUGGACUUGUUAUUUGUGUGUACUUCUUAUUUUAGUUGUAAAAUUUGUUAAACUGAUUUGUAAAUUGUUUAUUGGGCUUGUAACUUAUUUUGGUUAACCGAAUAAACCGAGG